rnacentral:rRNA from 1 species
CCAGACUCCUACGGGAGGCAGCAGUGGGGAAUAUUGCACAAUGGGGGAAACCCUGAUGCAGCGACGCCGCGUGAAGGACGAAGUAUUUCGGUACGUAAACUUCUAUCAGCAGGGAAGAAAAUGACGGUACCUGACCAAGAAGCCCCGGCUAACUACGUGCCAGCAGCCGCGGUAAUACGUAGGGGGCAAGCGUUAUCCGGAUUUACUGGGUGUAAAGGGAGCGUAGACGGCCGUGCAAGUCUGAUGUGAAAACCCGGGGCUCAACCCCGGGACUGCAUUGGAAACUGCAUGGCUGGAGUGUCGGAGAGGCAAGUGGAAUUCCUAGUGUAGCGGUGAAAUGCGUAGAUAUUAGGAGGAACACCAGUGGCGAAGGCGGCUUGCUGGACGACGACUGACGUUGAGGCUCGAAAGCGUGGGGAGCAAACAGGAUUAGAUACCCUGGUAC